rnacentral:rRNA from 1 species
AGGAUUAACGCUGGCGGCGUGCCUGACACAUGCAAGUCGAACGAGGCCGCAAGGCCGAGUGGCGGACGGGUGAGUAACACGUGACCAACCAACCUCGAAGUUGGGAAUAGCUCUGCGAAAGUAGGGGUAAUACCGAAUGUGGCCCAGGGCGGGCAUCCGCCUUGGUCUAAAGAUUCAUCGCUUCGAGACGGGGUCGCGGCCUAUUAGCUUGUUGGUGAGGUAACGGCUCACCAAGGCGAUGAUGGGUAGCUGGUCUGAGAGGACGACCAGCCACACUGGGACUGAGACACGGCCCAGACUCCUACGGGAGGCAGCAGUGAGGAAUCUUCCGCAAUGGGCGAAAGCCUGACGGAGCAACGCCGCGUGUGGGAUGGAAGGCUCUAGGGUUGUAAACCACUGUCGGAGGGGACGAUCGUGACGGUACCCUCCAAGAAACGCCCCGGCUAACUACGUGCCAGCAGCCGC